rnacentral:tRNA from 3 species
GCAGUUGUAGUAUAGCUUGGUAUUAUGCGAGCUUGCCAAGUUCGUGGCCCGGGUUCAAAUCCCGGCAACUGCA